AAGCGGAGGAAAAGAAACCANCAGGGAUUGCCCCAGUAACGGCGAGUGAAGCGGCAACAGCUCAAAUUUGAAAUCUGGCCCUCGGGUCCGAGUUGUAAUUUGUAGAGGAUGCUUUUGGCGAGGUGCCUUCCGAGUUCCCUGGAACGGGACGCCAUAGAGGGUGAGAGCCCCGUCUGGUCGGACACCGAGCCUCUGUAAAGCUCCUUCGACGAGUCGAGUAGUUUGGGAAUGCUGCUCAAAAUGGGAGGUAUAUGUCUUCUAAAGCUAAAUAUUGGCCAGAGACCGAUAGCGCACAAGUAGAGUGAUCGAAAGAUGAAAAGCACUUUGAAAAGAGGGUUAAAAAGUACGUGAAAUUGUUGAAAGGGAAGCGCCUAUGACCAGACUUGAGCCCGGUGAAUCAUCCAGCGUUCUCGCUGGUGCACUUUGCCGGGCCCAGGCCAGCAUCAGUUUGGCGCGGGGGAUAAAGGUGACGGGAAUGUGGCUCCCUCGGGAGUGUUAUAGCCCGCUACGUAAUACCCUGCGCCGGACUGAGGUACGCGCAUUGCAAGGAUGCUGGCGUAAUGGUCAUCAGCGACCCGUCUUGAAACACGGACCAAGGAGUCGUCUUCGUAUGCGAGUGUUCGGGUGUCAAACCCCUACGCGUAAUGAAAGUGAACGCAGGUGAGAGCUUCGGCGCAUCAUCGACCGAUCCUGAUGUUCUCGGAUGGAUUUGAGUAAGAGCAUACGGGGCCGGACCCGAAAGAAGGUGAACUAUGCCUGUAUAGGGUGAAGCCAGAGGAAACUCUGGUGGAGGCUCGCAGCGGUUCUGACGUGCGAAUCGAUCGUCAAAUAUGGGCAUGGGGGCGAAAGACUAAUCGAA
rnacentral:rRNA from 1 species